GACGAACGCUGGCGGCGUGCUUAACACAUGCAAGUCGAACGGAAAGGCCCUGCUUUUGUGGGGUGCUCGAGUGGCGAACGGGUGAGUAACACGUGAGUAACCUGCCCUUGACUUUGGGAUAACUUCAGGAAACUGGGGCUAAUACCGGAUAGGAGCUCCUGCUGCAUGGUGGGGGUUGGAAAGUUUCGGCGGUUGGGGAUGGACUCGCGGCUUAUCAGCUUGUUGGUGGGGUAGUGGCUUACCAAGGCUUUGACGGGUAGCCGGCCUGAGAGGGUGACCGGCCACAAUGGGACUGAGAUACGGCCCAGACUCCUACGGGAGGCAGCAGUGGGAAAUAUUGCACAAUGGGCGGAAGCCUGAUGCAGCAACGCCGCGUGCGGGAUGACGGCCUUCGGGUUGUAAACCGCUUUCGCCUGUGACGAAGCGUGAGUGACGGUAAUGAGUAAAGAAGCACCGGCUAACUACGUG
rnacentral:rRNA from 1 species